rnacentral:lncRNA from 1 species
CAACAGUUGACAACAGCAGCAGUUGACAGCAGAAGCAGGUAGCAGAAGCACGCCAGUACGACUUCUGCUUGGCAACUUCAUUUUUGCAACUAAGUUUCUUCAAUGGCUGCUGCCACCGGCCACAUCUUCAACCUUCCAGCCGUCGGAGUGGAAUUCAAUGUAUUGAAUUCAUACUUACCACAUGUCUAUAAAUAGACUUGUGGAGAGC